rnacentral:lncRNA from 1 species
UAGGGUCCUAUAGGGACUUGAAUGAGGAAGGUCUGCUGGAACAGAAAAAAUUAAAGAACAGAAAAAACUAAAACCAACCAGAUAAAUGAGAAAUCCCGUUACAAGUCUGCCGGCAGCAACAUAAGGUCAUUGCUCUAAAAAGGUACUGGUCAGUGCCCUAGAGGUACAAAGAAUGGGAAUUUUUUUAAUCAGGGUAACAUGAGGAAGAAUUUGGUUAUUUCUUUUCUCUUUUUUGUUUGGAGUUUGGUACAUACCAUCUUCUUGUCAUUAUUUCAGGGUUUAAGAUAAUUGUUUUGCCCCACCUAUAGCACCUAUAGAAAGUAGUGAACAGGAGAGGGAGAAUGAAAAUUGGCUUGUACCAUCUUUUAUGGCUACAGAAAGGCUAACUUUAGCUUUGGCUUUCGUGGAUUGUAAACGUGUGCUGGCACCUGUGAGGUGUGCAGAGGACUUGGGAGGUUUUCUCCGAGCUUGUCAAGAGGUGGGAACUGAGCUUCAUUGCUCUGCAGUAUUGACUCAGGAAAUGGCUACUUUGGUAACUGACAGAUCUAAAAGAAGCCAAGGGUCAAACCCUAAAGUGGGAAAGUGUUAUAAGUAUAGAAAAAUUGGACACUUCAAAAAAGAAGGCUGCCAGACCUCUGGGAAAAAGGGAUCUUAUAGUUCCCAUCUUAACAGAAAAAACACCAGGACUUUGCCCUCCUUGUAAUAGUGGAAAUCACUGGGCUAAUCAAUGCCACUCAAAAUUUCAUCAAAGUGGCAUCCCCCUGUUGGGAAACGAGAAGGGGGUCUGGACCCAGGUACCUCAAACUAUGAAGGCAUUCCCUGUCCAGGCCACAACUUCAUCUCAGGGUGGGUUUCCGGAGGCACAUUGGUUCCCUCUCCCUGGGAACACCUGGAAACACAGUAUUAGCUCUCCUAGAUAGAGAACAAAUUAUGUUAACUAGAGGAAACAAACUCACUAAGAUUCCCAUUGGUAUUUGGGGAUCUUUGCCAACAAGAUACAUGGGAUUGAUUUUGGUAAAAGCUGUCUUACAGGCCCAGGAGUUGUUGAUUUUGAUCGUGAAGGAGAAAUUCAGGUAGUGGUAAUGUCACAAGAUCUUUGGGUUUUUGAAACGGGAGAGUGUAUUGCUCAGUUGUUGCUUAUUCCCUGUAAAUUGUAUCGUUCUCUACCCAAGAAGAAAGAGGAGGUCAGGGAUUUGGAAGCACACCUAAGAGAUUUAUCUAUCACAAUGCAUAGCAUCUCACAGACCCACUUGUGCAGUGUAGAUUGAAGAAAAGUUUUGUGGGCUUAUGGAUACGGGAGCAAGAGACUGGUCUCUCGUGGUAAUAGAUCUUGAAGAUUAUUUACGAGAAGGAGAAGUCUUCAUUUGCUUUUUCUGUGUCUUCUGUUAAUCAGAAAGAUCCUGUCUCUUCUGUGGAAAGUUUUACCCUGCAGUAAUUAACCAAAGAGGCAGAAGCUGAGUUUUACAGCUUGUAGAACAAAUGCUCAGCAACGGCAUGCCUCCUGGCUACAGCCACAAGAGCCUUUGCCUUUGUUUCAGUAGAUUUACUAACGUGGGGAUGAGGGUAUGCUUGUGUCCUUACAGAAGAUGAACAAACCAUGUGGGUGCCCUCAAGGUGUGUAUGACCAUGGAAUGGGAGACUGGAAGGACCCAUGGAUCCCAACCAUGGACCUGGUUCCCCAGUAUGAGCCAUGAACCACUUGAAUUUGAAUGCGAAGAUGAAACGAGGACCAACCGGAGUCAUGCUGACAUCAACCCCGAUAACAUGGGGACAGAUCAGGAAAACCACACAGGAAGCUGAGAAACUGCUGGAGUGCCAGGGUUUCACCUUUUGCUGGAACUCAGAGCUUGGUGGACAGCCUGUGGAUAAAGUGAAGGUAAAUGCUGUCUAAAAUGAGGAGAGGACACACACAAACACACUGAAAAGAAGUCCGUCUGAAGGUGUAGACAGAGACUCAAGUCAUGUUGCCAAAGACCAAGGAAUGUCAAGGAUAUCUGGGAGUCAGCAGAAGAAGCCAAACAUCAUUUUGUGAGGACACACAGGUACUUCGAAGAAGCCAGUAGACAUUUUGUAGGACAUACAGGCAGCCGAUGGAGAGGCCCACAUGUGGAAGAGCUAAGGCUACCUAAGUGAGCAACCACCAGAAUGAGCUUGGAAUGGCAUGCUCCAGCCUCAGUUGAAACUUCAAAUAAUGGCAGCCCCAGCUAACAGCUUGACUGUAACCUCAUGAGGACCCUGUGCCAGAACCAUGAGGCUAAGCUACUCCUGAUUCCUAACCCACAGAAACUGUGACAUAAUAAAUAUUU